GCCGAUGUAGCUCAGCUGGCAGAGCGCCUCCAUGGUAAGGAGAGGGUCCUCGGUUCAAAUCCGAGCAUCGGCUCAA
rnacentral:tRNA from 3 species